rnacentral:lncRNA from 1 species
GGCAAGGGACUUGGAAGUUGGAAUUAUUAAUAUCGUUGUAGGACACAUAAUUUCAACAUUCUCUUUUCGAUGGCAGCGCAGGUGCAGUGGUACUGUUGACUUUUUUUUUUUUGAAGGUGUUGUUGGUUCAGAGUCGGAUUUGGGCGACAAUGAUAUUGGUUGCAGAAUGUGAAUGGCAAAAUCGUCAAGUCUCAAAAUCGCCAUGGAUGGAUCAAGACGUCGAUGAUCUCACGGAUCACGAGGCAAUUGUGGGGCCGGGCCCCACAGAGUUUCCGUUUCCGUGCGGCNNNNNNNNNNNNNNNNNNNNNNNNNNNNNNNNNNNNNNNNNNNNNNNNNNNNNNNNNNNNNNNNNNNNNNNNNNNNNNNNNNNNNNNNNNNNNNNNNNNNNNNNNNNNNNNNNNNNNNNNNNNNNNNNNNNNNNNNNNNNNNNNNNNNNNNNNNNNNNNNNNNNNNNNNNNNNNNNNNNNNNNNNNNNNNNNNNNNNNNNNNNNNNNNNNNNNNNNNNNNNNNNNNNNNNNNNNNNNNNNNNNNNNNNNNNNNNNNNNNNNNNNNNNNNNNNNNNNNNNNNNNNNNNNNNNNNNNNNNNGUGAGCGUGACGAAACGAAACCACCGUCCACCCUCCGCCGGCCCAAGCGUAACGUUGCACCGAGAAAGAGCAGAAUGGCCGCCGCCGCCGCCAUCUUCUCCCCAUCCAUGGCGGCCUCCUUCCGCUCCGCGUCGCCUGCUGGCCGCUCUCGUCCCUGGAGGCCGCGACGCCCCUCAAGGCCGACCUGGCGCCCGUGCUGGCCUCCAAGGUCUACGACGAGAUGCCGCUGGAGCGCGCCGACAGGCUCAACCUCUCCGAGCUCCUCGGGGCCAACCUCGGCAUCAAGCGCCAGGACCUGCAGCCGGUAACUAACCACCAACCUCGCAGCCACUUUGUCCUUGUGUACAGGCAGGCCGACCGGCCAAGCGAUCUUGCCGGUGGCACGCCCGCCGUCGGAUGAACGCUGAAUCCAACAGAGCACGUCACGUGAAGGUGAGACUUCCCACGCCACGGGCCGUCUCCCAUCUCACCCUUAUCCCAUCGCACGAUCCGGCGACUCAUCUUUCCUCCCCGACCAAAUUUUGAAUCUCAACUCAACGGCGACUUAUACAUGCGGGUUCAGGCGUUCGUUUCCUGACGUUUGAAGAAAUUUUGAAUCUUCAUUCAAUCGCUUGCUCCGAAUCUCCGAUGGAGCUUCGGUCAGGGUGGGUUUAGCCGAGGUUUUAGCUUGAUUAUCAUGUUUAGAUUCCUUGCUGGCCAUUUCUUCCCAACUUAUCCUGCUACAAUUACAGUAAAAAUGUACUGCUGUAUAUGGUGCGUGAUCCAAUUUCAGAACUGUGCACACAUACACAUUCAAGGGUUUUAUUCAUUGCUUGUUUAGAUAGAAAAGUCGACCCUACUCAUAAUUCUGUUCUGGAACAUUAACCGCAUGAAAACCUGAAUCCUAGGGGAAACUUUCAGUUGCCAAAACUCUGCCCAAGUUGAUAAUCUUGUGCAUAUAGAGGGCUAGAUGAGUGGUUAACAUUUGCUUCAUAUUUCCAUAACAAAGAAAUCGAUCUUCUGCAUCAGAACAGCAAAUGCUGCUAGCAAUAGCUUCAUGAUCAAACUACUGUGGUAGCUCAGCUUGUGUACAAAGUUCUCCUGAAAGUGCCUUUACCCUGCAUACCACCUCUGAUCUCUGCUGGAAACCAUGCUCGAGGAGUUGUUCUUUCUGCCCGAAGACUGGGCUGUCACGCCGUUAUUGUCAUGCCUGUGACAACACCAGAAAUCAAGGUUAUCGAUCUCCCAAUGACAUUACCUUAAAUAUGCUGUUUAUAUGCGAAAGUACCAUUCUACACCCAGGAGCAAAUGCUCCUGGUGUGAACAGUAAAAUCAAAAAAAUAGAAAAAAAAUCAAAAAAUUCUGAAUUUUUUUUGUGACAUACUUACACAAGUGUUUCUUGUGCAUGAAAAUUUUCAUCACGAAAUCACAUUCGUGGAAGUCGUGCCGAAAAAAACAAAAUCAGAGCUCCAAAAUGCUUUUGUAAGUAACAUUUUCAGAGCAUCGAUUUUGUUUUUUUACCACACCUUCCAUCAAUGUGAUUUCGCGAUGAAAUUUUACGUGCACAACAAACAUUUGUAUAAGUAUGCCACAAAAAAAUUCAGAAUUUUUUGACUUUUUUUUAUUUUACUGUUCACACCAGGAGCAUUUGCUCCUGGGUGUAGAAACUCCACGUCCGUUUAUAUGGUAUAUUUAAAUUAUUAUCACCAGCUACUAACAUAUAACUUAAUCCAGUGGCAGUCAGUGGAGAGAUUGGGUGCAACAGUUGUUCUCAGAGAUUCAUACGAUGAAGCUCAAUCAUAUGCAAAACUACUCUGUGAGGAGGAAGGCCGCACAUUCAUACCUCCUUUUGACCAUCCCGACAUUAUUGGUGGACAUGGAACUGUUGGCAUGGAAAUUGUUCGCGAAUUGCAAGGUCCAUUGAAUGAAAUAUUUGUACCUAUGGGAGGUGGUGGGUUAAUUGCUGCAAUUCCUGCCUCUGUGAGACUGGUCCGCCCUGAGGUUAGCUUUCAAACACAUGAGUAUUUUCUUUUUCUAUGAAAAACAUCACAAGACACCUAAGUUCUUUUUAAAUGCCAUCAAAGUAAAUGGUCUUGUUUUAAGUGCAUUUGGAAUCAAUUGUUUUUCAUCCAAUCGCCUAACACAAUACAUCAUUUGGUUACACAUGGUAAAAUAUUUGUAUUCAGGCUCACUUUCUUGUAUGUUUUACAACAAUUCUGGUGCAGGUCAAAAUAAUUGGAGUGGAGCCCUCAGAUGAAAAUACCAUGGCAUUGUCCUUGUAUCAUGGCCAUAGGGUCAAGUUAGAACAUGUUGGAGGGUUUGCUGAUGGUGUAGCUGUCAAAGUUGUAGGCGAGGAGGAAUUUCGCUUUUGUCAAGGACUUGUAGGUGGCACUGUCCUGUUCAGCCGAGAUGCUAUCCGUGCGUCAAUAAAGGUGAGAGUGAUCAAUUUAUUAUAUGUCAGCUCCGCCUUAUUAUGUUAAAUGGGUGCAUUACUGAACAGUGACAUGUUUUUAUCAUUGUAACUACUUACUACUCAGUUCACUUGAAUAGAAGCUUUCAGUUUCACUUGAAUAGAAUAGUUAUAAUGGUGUGGACUAUGUGAUAAUGUGACCUAGUUUUCUAGCUUUCACUUCUUUCUGUAGAUAUUGGUAUUUUCAUGUAUUUUGUUUACUACGUACAUAAUAACAUUGCUCAAAAAUUCUAGCUCGGCAGUUUGUUCUAUGUCAAUCUUACCGCCGUCAUGCUUGUGGACUGUUUAUGCUAGAUUGUUGUGGAUGUUCUGCACUACCAAUGUUAUUCAUGCUGAAAAUGUUGUUUUUCAUGGGCGCAGGAUAUGUUUGAGGACAGGAAUAUCCUUGAACCUGCUGGGCCCCUUGCCUUGGCAGGGGUUGAAUCUUACUGCAAAUACUACGGUUUGAAAGGGGAAACUGUGGUUGCAAUAAGUAGUGGCGCAAAUAUGAACUGUGGUUGCAAAGCUGAACCGGGGAAGGUAUUACUCGGAUAAAUUUGAUAUUGGUUUCUGAGUACCACAACUGGUAUUCUUUUCUUUUCCAGUUGUUAUUGCUAACAAACGACAUCGUUGCCACGCAAACUUGUAGGCCAAAAUUGUCGCAGUUGCAGCCGAUGGCAAGCAAUGUGAGGAUAGCUGUAGACGCUGUUGCAGAGAUGGGGAAAAGGUGAUCAUUUCCGCUUGCAUGAUACAUUCUUGACCGUGUAUUGUUAUCUUCUGAAAAAAUUAAGUGGCUGGACCUGCAAAUCCAAUUGUGCUCUGAGUACUUUGUUGUAUUUUUUUUAUGUUGUGCAGCCGCUGGCGUGGCUGAACGCGGGGCUGGACACCGCCACCCGGAUCAUCAAGCUCGUGGCGGCGGGGCUCGGCUUAUAUGUGACAGCGCAGCACCCGCUGUUGGUCACGCGCUUGGAGGCCUGGCUGCUCGCCAUGGUGCGUUUCAUCCUCGUGUCUGGCCUCGGCGCCACGCUCGCUCUCGGCAUCCUGCUCAUGUAUGCAGGCAUCAGGAUGAGCUUUAAGUGGGGGUCCCCGUCCGGCUCGGCCUAGUUAGUGUAAUUCAGCUUGGCCUAGUCGUUGUGUUGUGUAUUAGUACGUGUGAAGUAGGGGUGGUAUAGAUUGUUGUUUUAGAUAGAAAGAGCUAAACAUGUGAUCAGGGACGGAGCAUAUAACUGGAGCAUGGCAUGACCCACAAUGCAAACCAUUUAAGAGUAUAUAUAAGUGGGACGCCCACACUGCAACGAGGAACUAGUGGAUUUCAUUCGCUCUUAUCAUAUGGUUGUCUCUUUACUUUUCAUUCCACAACACGCCUGACGGCCUGAGCACUGCACUUCUUCUGCACACCAGAGAGAGCUAUAGGCCUAACUGAACGGAAGGCAGGCCGUCAGAACUAUCCCAGUUGAGGUAUGUAUUACUCGAUCAUAUUUGAUCUUUGUUUCUGGCUAGUUAAUUACUGCAAUUGGUUUUCUCUUUUAGCUGUUGUUGCUACCAGAUAACCAGCUUGUGGCACAAACUUGUACCAUGGAUACCUCAGCUUUAGCCGCAAGCUCGACCAUAUGCUCAAGUGUGACGAUCUGACCUCCAGAGGGAUCGGGAUGGCACCAGGGAAGAGGGUAGGUAGAGGAAAGGGGACGAGACUUGGAGAGACAGAAGAUGAGAGACAGAGAACAACAGGUGAGAUUCAGAUACAUGCUCGUUCAUGCCAACUCCUCUGUUCGGUUCAGGUUAAAUACCCACACGCCGCCAGCCUGGCCAUAGGCCACACACGUUCGCACGUGUUAAAAUUAUGUGUCGAAUAUAUGUGUACGAGUUGUGCUACGGUUGAACUUGUAAUUAGCGGAGGGCUAGGUGUUUGAGUCAUACACGUGUGAUAUGAAAAUAGACUUCAAACAAGUUGUAAGCUAAUUAAGUUACAGAUCACGAGAGGGAAGGUCCGAGCCGGUCGUGACGCAGUGGUCAAAGUGCUGUUUGAUUUGUUGUUUUUGGAAAGGAGGAUCACCCCCGGCCUCUGCAUUCGAAAGAUGCAUGCGGUCAUAAAACGUUGUUUGAUGGCUUUAGAGGGCUUAUAUCAGGUUAUUUAUUUAUUUUGGCCUCUGCAAGUAUAUCAGGUUAUAUAGUGCACAGGAGGCAAGCACGAGACGUCACACGAUAUUAUUAUAUAAUGUAUGAGACUAUGAGUGGUAGCAGGUACGUGCUUGGCCGGCAAUUUAAAGUCAAAAAAUCAAUCAACAAGGCCGGCAAUUAAGAAAGGAGCAAAUGAGCUCGAUGUUGAGCGAGUAGCCAAAGCAAAGCAACAGGAAGGGAAUGGCCGGCUGUAGAGAGGAGCUGAAGCUAUUGGGCAUGUGGGCGAGCCCAUUCGUGGUGCGGGUGCAGAUCACGCUCCGCCUCAAGGGCCUCAGCUACGAGUACGUGGAGGAGGACCUGCAGAACAAGAGCGAGCUGCUCCUGGGGUCCAACCCUGUUCACGGCGGCAAGGUGCCGGUGCUCAUCCACAACGGCAAGCCCGUCUGCGAGUCGUCGGUCAUCCUGCAGUACAUCGACGAGGCCUUCUCCGGCGCCGGGCCCUCCCUGCUCCCCGCCGAUGACCCCUACGGCCGAGCCGUCGCUCUCUUCUGGGCCGCAUUCGUCGACGGCACGGUAGGUCCAUAUUGCUUAUUACUCUCCCUGUUUCUUAAUACUCCCUCCAUCCAAAAAAUAUUUGUCAUCAAAAUGAUUAAAAAUAGUUGUAUCUAUCCCUUUUAUUCAUUUUGAUGACAACUAUUUCCGAACGGAGGGAGUAUAAGUCUUUGUAGAGAUUCCACUAAAUGGACUACAUACGGAGCAAAAUAAAUGAAUCUAAACUUUAAAUGCAUCUAUAUACAUCUUUAUGCGAUUUACAGUAAAAUCUCUAUAAAGACUUACAUUUAGGAACGGAGGGAGUAGUUACUACUUAACCCUCACAUGGCCAAGUUCAUGUAUACGUUUUUAAUGCAGCUGCUGAAAGCGCGGAGCCAGGCGUUAAGAGGCGAGACAGGCGAGGAGAAGGAGGAGGGGAGGAAGAAGGCGGCCGCGGCCAUGGAAACCUUGGAGGGGGUGUUGAGGGAGUCUGAGGCCAAGUUCUUCAGCGCGAGGGACGGCCCCGGUCUCGUGGACGUCAUGCUCGGCGGCCUCGUUGGCUCGAUGCGCGCGACGGAGGAGAUGUGUGGGCUCCAGACCUUCGACCCGACCACCACGCCGCUCCUGGCCGCAUGGGCAGAGCUCUUCUGCGCGUUGGACGCGGUGGCGCCGGUCAUGCCGAGUGUCCAGAGGCUCGUCGAGUAUGCCGAGGCGAUGCAGCAGCCUCGCACCGACGUGUCCAGCACCACCAACUGAGGCCUACCAAGCUCGCCUUGGGUCUUCACGCGCGUGUUUUUUUAUUUCUUCUGUGAUCAGUGUAUUUUGUCAAAAAAAUAGCAGUGCUCUCGAAUUAUGUAUGGAUCAAAUUUUGGACGUGGGAUUUUGAGACAUGGUGCCACGCGACGAUGUUAUCCUGACCGACGAUUGCUGACAUGUGAUUCACGCUUAAUAUAGUGCUUGACUGGACUGUGGCAAUACUAAGGAAUAAGUGAGUGAAUACGCAACAUUAAUACGAUAGACGUUGGCCAGCUAUUUUAUUGAAUAUGGUGGAUAGAGACCGGUAUAUUUAUGGUCAGGGUGCAGGGCUAGAGGCUACCUGUCAGUGUAAUUAACAUUCGUGACCUCGGUCGGGCAGUAAUAAAUGAGGUUUACUCCUAGUAAGUAAAAAUUACUCACCCAACCUGCAUUAUGGAUCCUUGGUCAACCUAGUUCAUGGGAUUCAGUUCAUCUGAUGGUGAAGGUUGUUGCUCCAGUUUUUGCUACUACUAGGUUCUUGCUUGCUUGCCUAAAAAAAGGUUCUUGCUUACUAUGCAUGUUCACAGACAACCCUGUAUUGCAAUAGCACGUUUGCCAAACUGCCUUUUUUAGCCCAGAUGAAAAUUGCAUCUCUCUUGUUAUGCUAGCAGAGGUUGGUCCGGAACUUGUGCUAACACCUUUACAACAACAUCAACGUUCCCUGAAAUAAAGCAACUUCUCUUUGUUGUCUCCUUUGCAUGGCGAUCCAACUGAAUCACACAAAUAUUUUUCUCCUUUAGACCUGUUGGAAGAUGAAUAUUUCAUAGUAAAGGGUUUCAGUAUUUAGAUGACAAAUCUGUUUGGGAAGACACUGAUCCUCGAUAAGCUCCACAACCACUGAACUCAACCCUGGGCAACCAUCCUCGUCGCCUUGUUUAUUUAGCUAUGACACAUUUUGAGAUCGUUGGCGGCCAAUCAGUACCCAGUAAUGUUUCAUUUCACCGUGGUCUUCCAUGUACUAGCUAGUAAUUAGUUUUUGAUCAAGCUCCUCAAUGUACUAGUAUGUGCUACCUGGUUCACCUACCGUGCAAACAGCUUUGUCUUAUGAUUCGUCAAGCAAUAAAUAAAGUGGGUGUGUUCAAUAUCAACUUCAGCAUUACAAAUUAGGCAAGGUUACCGGCAAUAUCUAACCAUGCUAAUCUCCUGCAAAGACUGACUGCACACACAAAACAUCAGCAAGCAGAUAAAUAAGCCGUGCGGGGCACACGCCAACUGCCAUAAAUUUCACAUAUACAGCCAACGCUCCUUUAAAUAGCUGCGAGCUGCCAAGUUGUAAAUGCAUGGCAGGCAAUCAAGGAACCCAGGAAUGAUUAAAAUCAUGCGUGAGACUGCAUUGUGGGUCGUCUGCUGCCGAGGUGAGAGGUAAUACGCAAGCUAUACAAAUUGUAUACGAUGCAUGGAAUUAAUUAUACACGCUCGAUGUAUUCGAACUGCGCGAAUCACGUGGGAAUGGACGGGGAGGAUACGAACCUCGCGUAGCUGUAUGUCCACUCGUGAUUUAUCGUCAAUUUUUUUAGUAUUUUCUUUAAAAAAUAUUGUUCACCAAGUGCGAUCAGCGUAUCUUGUUAAGUGGAAAGCAAUCAAUGACUAGUUCUCUCAUUUCAGUGAAGAUGAUAACACUAAUAGAAAAUGGGGCAAUGGUCCAGGCCGGGCCAGCCCAUUAGUCCUGAUUCAGUCCAGAACCGGGACCCAUGGGGGCAUUAGACCCGGUUCGUGAGGCCCGGGGGCCGGCCGGGCCACGUGGGCCAUUAGUCCCAGUUCGUCUGGACCUUUUGGUUCCGGUUGGUGGGACAAACCGGGACCAAUGGGCCUCGCUCCUGGCCCACCACCAUUGGUCCCGGUUGGUGGCUUGAACCGGGACCAAAUGCUGCCCUUUAGUCCCGGUUCGUGCCAUCAACUGGGACUAAAGGGUUGGUUUAGUCCCACCUCGCCAACCGAAGGGCGCUCACACCAGUUUAUAAGCCCCUCCCUCUCUGCCUUAUUGAACUCCUCUCAAAGUGAAAAUAGAUGCCCUUAUACAGGUAAUUUGACCUAAAUUCAUACUGAAUUUCUCUAAAGUUCGUAGAAAUUUAUUAUGAAUUUAGGUUGAAUUCUCUCUAUAGGCGCAUCUAUGCUCAUUUUUUUAGUAAAGUUAAUCACAAACUUGUGAUUCACACAAAUUUCAAAGAAUUCAAAUUUUAACUAUUCAUGCCACCAACCGGUUCAUGCCACCAACUGUGACCAAUGAUAUGCCUAUAUAUACCAUGCCAAAAUGAAAGAGAGGCGCAAUGAACAUCUGCACGUUGCUUAGCUUCAGGACAACGUGCAGGUGAGCACUGCGCUUCUCCCUUCAUCGUCUCUACACUCAGGGCUUAUAAACCGCUGCGAGUGCCUCUCGCUUGGCGAGGUAGGACUAAAAUACAGCUGCAGAAAGAAUCAACUAAAAAACUCUUUUACCGGUUCAUGCCACGAACCGGUACUAAAAGGUCGCCUUAAAACCUGUACCAAAUAAAGUGCCUUUGUAACAGCCUUAGAACUGGUACUGAAGGAAUCAACUAAAAAGCUUUUAUAAACCUCUAGUAUUAUUGAAACUAAAAUUAUAUAGAAUUUUGUUACAAACUUUAAUAGCAAAAAGAAUUAUCAUAAAAGAAAAAAAAUAAGUAAUUAGAAUUCUAUUCANNNNNNNNNNNNNNNNNNNNNNNNNNNNNNNNNNNNNNNNNNNNNNNNNNNNNNNNNNNNNNNNNNNNNNNNNNNNNNNNNNNNNNNNNNNNNNNNNNNNNNNNNNNNNNNNNNNNNNNNNNNNNNNNNNNNNNNNNNNNNNNNNNNNNNNNNNNNNNNNNNNNNNNNNNNNNNNNNNNNNNNNNNNNNNNNNNNNNNNNNNNNNNNNNNNNNNNNNNNNNNNNNNNNNNNNNNNNNNNNNNNNNNNNNNNNNNNNNNNNNNNNNNNNNNNNNNNNNNNNNNNNNNNNNNNNNNNNNNNNNNNNNNNNNNNNNNNNNNNNNNNNNNNNNNNNNNNNNNNNNNNNNNNNNNNNNNNNNNNNNNNNNNNNNNNNNNNNNNNNNNNNNNNNNNNNNNNNNNNNNCAAAAAGAAUUAUCAUAAAAGAAAAUAAAUAAGUAAUUAGAAUUUUGUUAGAAACUUUAAUAGCAAAAAGAAUCAUCAUAAAAUAAAUAAAGCAAAAAAGAAAACAAAAAAUGGAAAAAAUAAAAAAAUUGCCACCUACUGGGCCACCACGGCCUGAAUACGACUAGAAACCUUAUUGGGCCAGGAUUCAGGCCCGCAGACUGCCCAGCAGGCCCACAGGCAGAGACACAAGAUUAGGACUGUAGGCCUGCAAUAGUGAGAAGUUCAAAUGGGAGGGCAGAGUUGCACUUAUAAACAGGUGCGACCGCUCCUCAGCUAGCGAGGUGGGACUAAAUAUCCCACUGCACCGCGCCAGCGCAAGGCCUUUAGUACCGUACCACAUACCUAUUCCUUUUCGGGGUCUGGAACGUUCUGGAAAGUGUCCCUUAUGUAUUCCUCCGGGGUUACGAUUUCAAUAAUAUUAGUUUCAACAUUUAUAGGAUUACCUGAGAUAUAGUGUUUGAUCCUUUGACCCUUUACCACCUUCGGAUUUGUGCCUGCGAAGUUGUUGAUUUUUAUGGCACCGGAACGAUAGACCUCCUCGAUAACGUAAGGAUAUUCUCAUUUAGAGAGAAGUUUUCCUGCAAAAAAUCUUAAACGAGAGUUGUAUAGCAAUACAUAAUCACCUACAUUAAACUCACGCUUUUGUAUCCUUUUGUCAUGCCAUAUUUUAACCUUUUCUUUAAACAACUUGGCAUUUUCAUAAGCUUAGUUUCUCCAUUCAUCAAGUGAGCUAAUAUCAAAUAACCUCUUCUCACCGGCAAGUUUAAAAUCAUAGUUGAGCUCUUUAAUAGCCCAGUAUGCCUUAUGUUCUAGUUCGAGAGGUAAGUGACAAGCUUUUCCAUAAACUAUUUUAUACGGAGACAUACCCAUAGGAUUUUUAUAUGCAGUUCUAUAGGCCCAUAAUGCAUCAUCAAGUUUCUUUGACCAAUUCUUUCUAGACCUAUUGACAGUCUUUUGCAAAAUUAAUUUGAGCUCUCUAUUGCUCAAUUCUACCUGACCACUGGACUGCGGGUGAUAUGGAGAUGCAAUUCUAUGAUUAACGUCAUAUUUAGCAAGCAUCUCAUGGAAAGCAUCAUGACUAAAGUGUGAACCACCAUCAGUCAUUAAAUAUCUAGGGACUCCAAACCUCGGAAAAAUAACUUCCUUAAGCAUUUUAAUAGAAGUGUUAUGAUAAGCACUACUAGUUGGAAUAGCUUCUACCCACUUAGUAAUGUAAUCAAUAGCAACUAAAAUAUGUGUAUAUCCAUUAGAGGCAGGAAAAGGUCCCAUAUAACCAAAGCCCCAAACAUCAAAUGGUUCAAUAACAAGGGAAUAAUUCAUAGGCAUUUCUUGACGUCUACUAAUAUUACCAAUUCUUUGACAUUCAUCGCAAGACAACACAAACUUACGGGCAUCCUUGAAGAGAGUAGGCCAAUAAAAACCGGAUUACAAUACCUUAUGUGCAGUUCUAUCUCCAGCGUGGUGUCCUCCAUAAGCUUCGGAGUGACACUUGCGUAGGAUCUGUUCCUGUUCAUGCUCAGGUACACAACGUCUAAUAACACCAUCUACUCCUUUAUAAAGAUGUGGGUCAUCCCAAAAGUAAUGUCGCAAGUCAUAGAAAAACUUUUUCUUUUGUUGGUAUGUGAAGCUAGGUGGUAUAAAUUUAGCAACAAUAUAAUUAGCAUAAUCAGCAUACCAAGGAGUGCUACGAGAAGUGCUUAUGACAUUUAAUUGUUCAUCAGGAAAGCUAUCAUCAAUAGGUAGUGGGUCAUCAAGAACAUUCUCUAACCUAGAUAAGUUGUCUGCAACGGGGUUCUCAACUCCUUUUUUAUCAACAAUAUGUAAAUCAAAUUCUUGCAGUAGGAGAACCCAUCUAAUAAGUCUAGGUUUUGCAUCUUUCUUUUCCAUAAGAUAUUUAAUAGCAGCAUGAUCAGUGUGAAUAGUUAUUUUAGAAUCAACAAUAUAAGGUCCAAAUUUAUCACAAGCAAAUACAACUGCUAAAAGUUCCUUUUCGGUAGUAGCAUAAUUUCUUUGAGCAUUGUCUAGAGUCUUACUAGCAUAAUGGAUAACAUUUAAUUUCUUAUCAACUCUUUGCCCUAGAACAACACCUACAUCAUAAUCACUAGCAUCACACAUAAUUUCAAAGGGUAAAUUCCAAUCAGGUGGCUGAACAACAGGUGCAGAGACUAAUGCUUUCUUAAGUAUUUCAAAUGCUUCUACACAAUCAUCAUCAAAGACAAAUGGUACAUCUUUUUAUAAUAAACUAGUCAGAGGCCGAGAGAUUUUUGAGAAGUCCUUAAUGAACCUCCUAUAAAAUCCGGCGUGACCAAGGAAACUUCUUAUACCUUUGAUGUCCUUGGGACAUGGCAUCUUUUCAAUAGCAUCAACCUUGGCUUUAUCACCUUCAAUACCUCUUUCAGAAACUUUGUGCCCCAAGACAAUACCUUCAUUAACCAUAAAGUGGCACUUUUCCCAAUUCAAGACAAGAUUAGUUUCUUCACAUCUCUGCAAAACUCAAGCAAGAUUGCUCAAGCAAUCAUCAAAAGAGGAACCAUAGACGGAAAAGUCGUCCAUGAAAACCUCACAAAUCUUUUUGCAAAAGUCAGAGAAUAUAGCCAUCAUGCAUCUUUGAAAGGUAGCAGGUGCAUUACAUAAACCGAAAAGCAUAUGUCUAUAAGCAAAAGUACCAAAAGGGCAUGUAAAAGUAGUCUUUGAUUGAUCUUUAGCCGACACAGGUAUUUGAGAAAAACCGGAAUAACCAUCUAGAAAGCAAUAAUGUGUAUGCUUGCAUAAUCUUUCUAGCAUUUGAUCAAUAAAAAGGUAAGGGGUAAUGAUCUUUCUUAGUAGCCUUAUUUAACUUAUGAAAAUCAAUUACCAUCCUAUAACUUGUGAUAAUUCUUUGCGGAAUCAAUUCAUCUUUAUCAUUAGGGACAACAGUAAUACCUCCCUUCUUAGGGACACAAUGGACAGGACUUAUCCACUGACUAUCAGCAACGGGAUAAAUUAUACUUGCCUCCAAAAGCUUGAGUAUUUCCUUUCUUACCACUUCUUUCAUUUUAGGAUUCAAACGUCGUUGAGGAUCACAAACUGGUUUGGCAUCAGCUUCCAAAUUUAUUUUAUGUUGACAUAGAGUGGGACUGAUGCCCUUAAGAUCAUCCAGAGUAUAUCCAAUAGCGGCACGGUGCUUCUUCAAAGUUUUCAAUAAUCUUUAUUCUUCAUGCUCUGAAAGGUUAGCGCUAAUAAUGACAGGAUAUAUUUUCUUUUCAUCAAGAUAAGCAUAUUUAAGAUUAUCAGGCAACGGUUUAAGCUCAAACACGGGAUCACCCUUGGGUGGAGGAGGAUCCCCUAGGAUUUCAACAGGCAAAUUGUGUUGCAGAAUAGGUUCCUGUUUAAAUAAUACUUCAUCUAUUUCCCUUCUUUCAUUCAUGAACAUAUCAUUUUCAUGGUCUAGCAAAUAGUGUUCUAAAGGAUCACUAGGAGGUACGGCAAUAGAAGCAAGACCAAUAAUUUCAUCCUUACUAGGCAAUUCUUCCUCACGAUGUUGUUUACUAAAUAUAGAGAAAUUAAACUCAUGAACCAUAUCAUCCAAGCCAACAGUAACAACAUUCUUUUUGCAGUCUAUCUUAGCAUUAACAAUAUUCAAGAAGGGUCUACCAAAUAUAAUGGGACAAAAUCUAUCUUGUGGAGAAUCAAGAACAAGAAAAUCAGUGGGAUAUUUGGUUUUCCACACAAGACUUCGACAUCUCUAACAAUUCCCACUGCAGAUAUAGUAUCUCUAUUGGCAAGUUUAAUUGUAACAUCAAUAUCUUCUAACUCAGCAGGUGCAAUAUCAUGCAUAAUUUCUUUGUAUAAGUCAAUAUGGUAUAACACUAGCACUAGCGCCCAUAUCACACAAGCCAUGAUAAUAAUGAUCUCCUAUUUUAACAGAAAUAACAGGCACGCCUAUCACAGGUCUAUGUUUAUCUCUAGCACAAGGUUUAGCAAUUCUGGCAGUUUCACCACAGAAUUGAAUAACAUGCCCAUCAAUAUUAUCAGACAAGAGAUCUUUAACAAUAGCAAUAUUAGGUUCUACUUUGACUUGCUCAGGAGGUGUAUAAGUUCUAGUAUUGCUUUUACGAAUAACAGUUGAAGCUUUAGCAUGAUCCUUCAUUCUAACAGGGAAAGGUGGUUUCUCAACAUAAGAAGUGGGAACAAUAGGAUCAUUAUAAGUGACAAUCUUUUCUUCAACUUUAAUAGUGCAUCUACUUUUACUUCUAUGGGAGGAUGAUAUUUAAACCACUUCUCCUUGGGAAGAUCAACAUAAGUAGCAAAAGAUUCACAGAAAGAAGCUACUAUCUCAGAGUCAAGUCCAUAUUUAGUGCUAAACUUACGGAAAAUAUCGGUAUCCAUAAAAGAUUUAACACAAUCAAACUUAGGUGUCAUACCUGACUCCUUACCUUCGUCGAGGUCCCAAUCUUCAGAGUUGCAUUUAAUUCUAUCUAUCCAAUAAAUUCCAUCUGAAUUCAAUAGUCUUCAUCAUAAAAGAGCCAGCAGAAGAAGUAUCAAGCAUGGUGCGAUUGUUAUCAAAAAGCUGAGCAUAAAAACUUUGCAUAAUCACUUCUAUUGCGAGCUCAUGAUUGGGGCAUGAAUAUAACAUUGAUUUAAGCCUCCCCCAAGCUUGAGAGAUGCUUUCUCCUUCGCGAGGCCAAAAAUUAUAUAUAUAAUUACGAUCACGAUGAACAAGAUGCAUAGGGUAAUACUUUUGAUGAAAUUCCAAUUUCAAUCUUUUAUAGUUCCAUGAUCUCAUAUCAUCACAUAGCCUAUACCAUGUCAAUGCGUAUCCCUUUAAAGAUAAAGGGAAGGCCUUCUUCUUAACAACAUCAUCGGGUAUACCUGCAAGCUUAAAUAGUCCACAAACAUCAUCCACAUAGCGUAGAUGUUCAUCAUGAUGCUUUGUUCCAUCUCCUGUAAAAGUGUUAGCUAGUAGUUUUUCCAUCAAACCCGAAGGAAUCUCAAAAGGAGUUUCAUUUUCAAUAGGUUCAGUAGGUUGAGUAGGUUGAGGAGCAACUCUUUGAUCUACUGGAUGGGGUGAAGAUACCACGAAAAAGCCCCUCAGACAAUUACUUUCCAUAGUAACAAGUGACAGAAAAUUUCAGCACACUAAAUAAAUUUUUCCUUACCAAAUUCCACCUACCAAAGGCGCUUCACUCCCCGGCAACGACGCCAGAAAAGAGUCUUGAUGACUCACAAGUGUAGGAGAUCUAUCGUAGUCCUUUCGAUAAGUAAGAGUGUCGAACCCAACGAGGAGCAGAAGGAAAUGAUAAGCAGUUUUCAGCAAGGUAUUCUCUGCAAGUACUGAAAUAAGUGAUAACAGAUAGUUUUGUGAUAAGAUAAAUUGUAACGAGCAACAAGUAACAAAAGUAAAUAAAGUGCAGCAAGGUGGCCCAAUCCUUUUUGUAGCAAAGGACAAGCCUGGACAAACUCUUAUAAUAGGAAAAGCGCUCCCGAGGACACAUGGGAAUAUCGUCAAGCUAGUUUUCAUCACGCUCAUAUGAUUCGCGUUCGGUACUUUGAUAAUUUGAUAUGUGGGUGGACCGGUGCUUGGGUGUUGUUCUUACUUGAACAAGCAUCCCACUUAUGAUUAACCUCUAUUGCAAGCAUUCGCAACUACAACAAAAGUAUUAAGGUAAACCUAACCAUAGCAUGAAACAUAUGGAUCCAAAUCAGCCCCUUACGAAGCAACGCAUAAACUAGGGUUUAAGCUUCUGUCACUCUAGCAACCCAACAUCUACUUAUUACUUCCCAAUGCCUUCCUCUAGGCCCAAAUAAUGGUGAAGUGUUAUGUAGUCGACGUUCACAUAACACCACUAGAGGUUAGACAACAUACAUCUUAUCAAAAUAUCUAACGAAUACCAAAUUCACAUGACUACUAAUAGCAAGACUUCUCCCUUGUCCUCAGGAACAAACGUAAUUACUCAUAAAGCAUAUUCAUGUUCAUAAUCAGAGGGGUAAUAAUGUGCAUAAAGGAUCUGAACAUAUGAUCUUCCACCAAAUAAGCCAACUAGCAUCAACUACAAGGAGUAAUCAACACUACUAGCAACCUACUAGCACCAAUCCCGGACUUGGAGACAAGAAUUGGAUACAAGAGAUGAACAUAUGAUCUUCCACCAAAUAAACCAACUAGCAUCAACUACAAGGAGUAAUCAACACUAAUAGCAACCUACUAGCACCAAUCCCGGACUUGGAGACAAGAACUGGAUACAAGAGAUGAACUAGGGUUUGGAAAUGAGAUGGUUCUGGUGAAGAUGUUGAUGGAGAUUGCCCUCUCCCGAUGAGAGGAGCGUUGGUGAUGACGAUGGUGAUGAUUUCCCCCUCCCAGAGGGAAGUGUCCUCGACAGAACAGCUCUGCCGGAGCCCUAGAUUGGUUCCGCCAAGGUUCCGCCUCGUGGCGGCGGAGUCUCAUCCCGAAAGGUUGCCUUCUAUUUUUUUCUUAUCGAAAGACUUUAUAUAGGAGAAGAUGGGCGUCGGAGAGCCACCAGGGGGCCCACGAGGUAGGGGGCGCGCCCAGGGGGGGCGCCCCCCACCCUCGUGAGCAGGAUGUGGGCCCCCUGGCCUUCAUCUUUGGCGACGAUUUUUCUUUAUUUAUUUUAAGGUAUUCCGUGGAGUUUCAGGACUUUUGGAGUUGUGUAGAAUAGGCCUUCAAUAUUUGCUCCUUUUCCAGCCCAGAAUUCCAGCUGCCGGCAUUCUUCAUCUUCAUAUAAACCUUGUAAAAUAAGAGAAAAUAGCCAUAAGUAUUGUGACAUAACGUGAAAUAACAACCCAUAAUGCAAUAAAUAUUGUCAUAAAAGCAUGAUGCAAAAUGGACGUAUCAUGGACAUUGGAUGUCAUUGAUAACGAGAUCACGUCAUUAGGAGAAUAAUGUGAUGGACAAGACCCAAUCGUAAGCAUAUCACAAGAUCGUGUAGUUCGUUUGCUAAAGCUUUUCUAAUGUCAAGUAUCAUUUCCUUAGACCAUGAGAUUGUGCAACUCCCGGAUACCGUAGGAAUGCUUUGGGUGUACCAAACGUCACAACAUAACUAGGUGGCUAAAAAGGUGCGCUACAGGUAUCUCCAAAAGUGUCUGUUGGGUUGGCAUGAAUCAAGACUGAGAUUUAUCACUCCGUGUGACGGAGAGGUAUCUCUGGGCCCACUCGGUAAUGCAUCAUCAUAAUGAGCUCAAUGUGACUAAGUAGUUGGUCACGGGAUCAUGCAUUACGAAAUGAGUAAAGUGACUUGUCGGUAACAAGAUUGAACGAGGUAUUGUGAUACGGACGAUCAAAUCUCGGGCAAGUAACGUACCGAUUGACAAAGGGAAUUGUAUACGGGAUUACUUGAAUCCUCGACAUCGUGGUUCAUCCGAUGAGAUCAUCGUGGAACAUGUGGGAGCCAACAUGGGUAUCCAGAUUUCGCUGUUGGUUAUUGGCCGGAGAGCUAUCUCGGUCAUGUCUGCUUGAUUCCCGAACCCGUAGAAUCUACACACUUCAGGUUCGAUGACGCUAGGGUUAUAGGGAAGGUUUGUACGUGGUUACCUGAAUGUUGUUUGGAGUCCCGGAUGAGAUCCCGAACGUCAUGAGGAGUUCUGGAAUAGUCUGGAGGUGAAGAUUUAUAUAUGGAAGUCAUCAUACGGUCAUCGAAAGUAUUCGGGGGUUUAUCGGUAUUGUACCGGGACCACCGAAGGGGUUCCGGGGGUCCACCGGGAGGGUCCACCUGCCCCGAAGGGCCCUUAUGGGUUGUAUGUGGAAGGGAACCAGCCCCAAGUGGGCUGGGCGCCACCCCUUAGGGCCCAUGCGCCUAGGGUUGGGGGGACCCUAAAGGGGGCGCCCCCCUUGGCUUGGGGGGCAAGCCCCCUCCCCUUGGCCGCCCCCCCUCUUGAUCUCAUCUAGAGGGGCCGUCCCCCUUCCCUCUUCACCCUAUAAAUAGAGGGAAGGAGGGAGGGCAGCCGCACCACAUCCAAGGCGCAGCCCUCCCCCUCUCUAACCCCUCUCCUCCUCCGUUUGUGCUUGGCGAAGCCCUGCCGGAGAACCACUGCUCCACCACCACCACGCCGUCGUGCUGCUGCUGGAGCCUUCUUCCUCAACCUCUCCCUCCUCCUUGCUGAAUCAAGGCGUGGCAGACGUCACCGGGCUGCACGCGUGUUGAACGCGGAGGCGCCGUUGUUCGGCGCUUAGAUCGGAAUCCACCGCGAUCUGAAUCGCUACGAGAACGGCUCGUUCAUCCGCGUUCUUGUAACGCUUCCGUGUCGCAAUCCUCAAGGGUAUGAAGCUGCUCUCCCCUCUCUCUCUCUCUCGUUGCUAGUUUCUCCGUAGAUUGAUCUUGCCGAUGCGUAGAAUUUUUUAAAAUUUCUGCAACGAUCCCCAGCUCCGCCUGCCUCUGAAGCUGCAUCUGUUGUGGCUCGCUCGCCGCUCGAUGCCGCCGGCAUUCUUGAGGAGCGCUGGCGUCCAUGGCUCUCGCCUCCUCGAGCUCAGACGCAACAACAGAUUUGUUGCAAUUUUUGAAGAUCUUGUUGCAUUUUUCGUAACAAUUGUCUAGUUGCAGAAAAUUAGACGCGACGUAAGAUGUUGUUGCAAUUUGUUUAAAAAGAUCCACCGACCGACGCGUAGUAGCCCCCGUCGUAUUACUGCAAAUUGCCCCGCAAAAGAAAGAUAUUACUACUUGCAAAUUGAUUCUCAAAAAAAGAAAGUACUUGCAAAUUGUGUUAUCUCCGGGUGAGAGCUGCAUAUACGAGUCGAAAUCGAACACAACCUCGCCGCCCUCGGGACGGGCCUCAGCCGGUCACCUCGCUGGGCCUAUAAAUACCCACCCGCCGCAGCAACCGUCUGUCCCCCGUACCCCGUCCGCAUACCCCCCACCCCGACCCCAACCCCGCACCAACCUCGCGGAAGGAAGGCCGACGACCAAACCCUAGGCGAGCGGCAGCCUCCGAUCCCCUCUCCCCGAUCUCUAUAAAACCACCGCGGAUUUCGAAUUCUCUCUUCCCCGCGGGAGAAUCCCGCCGGCUCCUCCUCCCUCGGCGCGCCCGGACCGGGCUCCUCCCGCGGGGCCGGGGGGCGGCGGCGGGGGCGACGGCGGUGGAUGGCGGAGGCGGCGGCGCUGGAGGGGAGCGAGCCGGUGGAUCUGACCAAGCACCCCUCCGGCAUCAUCCCCACGCUCCAGUAAGUCCCGCCCCCCGUCCCCGUCUCUCACCUUUCCCNNNNNNNNNNNNNNNNNNNNNNNNNNNNNNNNNNNNNNNNNNNNNNNNNNNNNNNNNNNNNNNNNNNNNNNNNNNNNNNNNNNNNNNNNNNNNNNNNNNNNNNNNNNNNNNNNNNNNNNNNNNNNNNNNNNNNNNNNNNNNNNNNNNNNNNNNNNNNNNNNNNNNNNNNNNNNNNNNNNNNNNNNNNNNNNNNNNNNNNNNNNNNNNNNNNNNNNNNNNNNNNNNNNNNNNNNNNNNNNNNNNNNNNNNNNNNNNNNNNNNNNNNNNNNNNNNNNNNNNNNNNNNNNNNNNNNNNNNNNNCACAUUAAUAAACCAAUGUAGAGGUUGGGUUCAGAUGAGAAGUAGAUAUUGAGGUUAUCCGGGUCAUAAUUUGUCGCCGGAUCUGAAAUUCAUGCCACGGUGUGGCUUAAAUGCUCUGGAAUGCAUAUGCAUGAAACUUUGAAUGCGAAACAACAGCGGGUUCAUAAACUUGUGUCGGGGGUCACCGGGCGUGCCACGGUGACCCCCGACACCAUGCCAAGUUAUCCGCUUUGUGCCAACGUGGUCCGGUCCGUGCAGCGUGUUCUAAUUCGCUGGACAUUUUACCGGUGUUGCGUUUUGGGGGCGAUGGUGUUUUGUGCUGUGCUCAUUUUAACUACCCAAGUAUGAAAGUAUAACGCUCCUGGGUGUACUCUGCCUUCUGGUGUUCGAUUUGAUGACAGGAAUAUUGUGUCGACGGUCAACCUGGACUGUAAGUUGGACCUGAAAGCAAUAGCUCUCCAGGCACGCAAUGCAGAGUAUAACCCCAAGGUGAAAUCAUUAUCCUAAUACAUUCUUCAUGUUGUUUUUGUUUUCUCUUAUUGGGCUCCUGGUGCUAUAUUUAAAGGUUUUGUGAAUAUUUAGUGUCGUCUGGUGCUAUAUUUCCGAAAACAUCCAAGUUUUAUCACUUUGCUUUGCUAGCAUCCACAAGUCUAUUGUGGCAAGCAUGUCUUUGUGAAUCCUGCUGUGUAGACGGUGGGUAGCCUGGUAAAAGAUUUGAGACUUUGUACAUGGGUUCUUUUGUGGACCCUUCUGUAUUUGUGUUCAUUCGCUGAGAAAUUAGAGAACAAUAGCUUACUAAAUAGUUUUUGAUCCGAUGGUGAGUUGAGACUGUCUACCUGACUACCUUUAGGCUUUAGCAUGAGGGUAAGGUUAUGAAUUGAUGAUACAUGGCUGCUCUGCUCUAUUCUGCGUUUUACUAAAUAAAGUUUUUUUGUUUGAGAGAGAUUUACUAAAUAAAGUCGAUGCUGUUUAAAACCUGCACCUGUAUAUGAUAAUCAAUAGUAUUUCUAGGUUAGUAUGAUCUCUUCUAUUAUGUAAAAUUUAUUUGGUGAAAACAAAUAAUUGGACCAUGAUCAUUUGCUCUGUCUUUUGCUGUUCUGAUGCUUGUAAAUUUGUUCAGCAGCAUAUAUGUUACGCUUUUCUUUGCUGACAUUCUAUUUUGAACAGCGUUUUGCUGCAGUUAUCAUGCGGAUAAGAGAACCAAAAACUACCGCAUUGAUAUUUGCUUCAGGAAAAAUGGUAAGGCCAAGUUCAUGUACAUCUGAUGCAGAAUAUGGUCUUUUGUAGUUUGAUUAUUUAAUGGCGUUGGAGAUGGUAUUGUACGCGCAUAUGAGUAGCUAUUCAUGCUGUAGUCAUCCGACUGUUGAAAUUCAAUGCAAAUUCCCCAUUGACACUAAGCGGUUAGGGUUCGCUGCAUAUUUUUCACAUUAGCUAUAUGUCAGAAUUAAACCUUUUCACUCAGUAUAAAAGAUCCUCCAAAUAUCGUCUUCAGUCAUUGAAAAAUAAAGCAAAGAUUUGUUGAGAUUGGAUUGAUACUUGAGUUCAGUUAAAAUUCCUUGGGUAUCAGUUGAUCACUUUAAUGGAAACCUGCAAAAGUGUUUUGAUUCAGUGGCCUUCUGGGAAAGUGAAAUUUGAUAGUUAUACCAGAGAGUUAUGGUCUUAGUGGUGUUAUCCUCCUAAUUACACACUGAUGCAAAGUAUACCGUUGCUUUGUUAUCAGGUUUGCACUGGAGCAAAAAGUGAACAACAAUCUAAACUCGCAGCUAGAAAGGUAUUUGUCUAGCUUUCUUUCCUUUCAUACAUAUCAGAGGCAAAAGGUUCUCAAAUUGUAAAUGUUUUCCUGUUUUCAGUAUGCUCGUAUAAUUCAGAAGCUUGGAUUUCCUGCAAAAUUCAAGGUACCUAUCCCAUUCUUGUGUAAAGUUUGCAUGCUCAUACCUUGAUAAUUGCUUGUUUGCUGAACGUUUGUUAAUUCUGUGAUGUCAGGACUUCAAGAUCCAGAAUAUUGUUGCCUCUUGUGAUGUCAAAUUCCCUAUCAGGCUUGAGGGCCUCGCAUAUUCCCAUGGCGCUUUCUCAAGUGUAAGUUACCAAGUUGAAUUCUGUGGUUUCUGUUGGCACUAUUUUAUCAUGUGCGGUAUUUUUCUUUCUUUCCCGGAACUUCUCUAUCUCCUUGUUUUGGAACUGAUAUUUUAUACGGUUGCUUGACAGUAUGAGCCAGAGCUAUUUCCCGGUCUGAUUUACCGGAUGAGGCAGCCGAAGAUUGUCCUCCUAAUUUUUGUUUCUGGCAAGAUUGUUCUGACUGGAGCAAAGGUCGGUAGUCCUUUCCUGUGGCCCUGUGGGUUUCUCCAUUACUCAGUAAUGAUGGUAUUUCUAAGCUAUUAUCUUUCCAGGUGAGAGAAGAGACAUACACCGCCUUCGAGAACAUAUAUCCUGUCCUGACAGAGUUCAGAAAAGUGCAGCAAUGAUGGUAUAAUUCCUGAGAGCGCAUGUUUAAUGGGCAUUGCUAUGUUGGGAAUAGGAUAGGAAAUGCCAUGUUCCAUUGACAAGUUGGGCCACUAAAGGUGGAUUUGUCCUUUUUUGCCGCUCAGUGCCUCUGGUGCUUGUUCUAAUUUUGUUUGCGGUGUUUCCUGGACUGCGAUGAGCGGCUACUUUCAGAAACUAAUGGUGCGUGCGGGCGCCGUGUAUUAUGCGUGCAGGUGACUUUGGAAGUAAAGCAGAAUUGGAGACAUUGUUGCUUGCUGCCAGCUCCAACCUCGCAAAGUCUAGGCAUAGCCCGUCUUCCGGUGGAAAACCCUAUAUAUAUAUAUACUGUCCAUCAGAUUUGGAGUACCUGUUGUCGUAAUCGACUAGGGUUCUUCUUUUUGUGAUGGAUCAUGGUUGAUCAUCGCAGGUAUCAUCGCAGGUCUAUUCUGUCAUGGCAUCGUCCCUCACUCGAAACACUCUUGUGGAAGUUGAGUGAAACCCAAGCAAAUUUUGCUCCUGGAUUCUAGAGCCUUUUUCUCCUGAUGAUGUGAUGAUGAAAACGCCAGCUGAUGUAUAUUCACUUGUAGACGCGUUUGCGCCCUGUUAAAAGGAGGGCUUCAUGUCGAGCCGAAUAGCAAGAGGAAAAUUUGUGUUAUUUCUAUCCCUUUGUGCUGUCUCGGUCGUCGCAUUUGUGCCGACCAUUUAACAUUUGCCGAAAAUUUCUGUAAUGUUUGCCUUUUUCGCCCUUUCAACCAGAAUCAUCAGCAUUGAAAACAAUGGUAAAGCUAUGAAAACCACAAAAGCAAGAAAAAGCUGCACAUGCUCACAAAAAUUCAUGACAGCUCUCUCUGCUUGCGUUGCGUUUGAAAGGGAUGGAGGGAAAUCAGUACGAAAAAAUUGAAAGGCCUCGCUGCCUCUGUUUUCUGUCCUAGCUCAUACGGCCGACACGAGAAUAAAUGUAAUGCAAAACUGGGCAAAGGAGCAACACAUCGAACCAAAGAUACGCUGCAGAUUUCUCCAUUAAUCACAUUUCAUUCAUGAGAAGAUACCACUGUAUAUAUAUAUUCUUGCAGGAUUUUAAUUCGAAUGCCAAUCCGGUAUUCAUUAAUAAUAAUAGAAAUAAUGAUCUACUCAUUAUAGAAGAAACUUUUCGGCGAAGUAAUAAUCGAAAAGUUUGUUAUAUCAUGCUGGUUUAUCUGAAAUAAUAAAAAAGGAAUUUUGAUAGUACUACUAAACAAUUUUGCUGCUAAUUAAAAAUGAAUUUAUCAUGCACAUUUAUUCAGAGAUCACUGGGUGCAUCACCAUAUCUAGCAAAAUCCUUUUGCUUCAGGGCAUCUCAAAUGCCGUCCGUCAAAUCGGACACCCCAAACGUCCACGGACAGCGGUAGCCCACCUAACCUGGCACACCAAAUGUCUUAUAUGCGAAGCACUCACAAAAUUAUUAAAGGUAAAUAUCAUCCUUCGUCCAUGAUCAUCACGUGCAAAUAUUACAAUGCAACAAUAAUUCAAAUAUUGAUUGAUAUUACAACCCAUACACGAAGUUUCCCAAUAAAAUAGUUCAGAUUUGAUUUUUAGUUGCCCCCCUCUCCCGAAGCGCCCACUGGUUGAUGUCGAAUCUGUUGAUGCAUUUUGAUAAAUUCUUCAAGCGUCGCCAUGUUCAUCUUGUUUGCUUGAAAGUAAACAACAAAAAAAACAUCAAUAAAAGUGGAUACGGCAUUUGACCGAACACUUGUUCGCGCGUGAUCUCCACCAUGGACCGCAUUCUGCAGGAGGGCAAAGGGUACCUCGGCGGCGGCUAACCAGGGGUGGAAGGGAGGCGUCAGCAAGUCGGUACUGACACCCGGUAUGGAGCGGUGGAGGUCCAACGAGGCCUGGGCGGCGGAGUGGGUGGUAUAGCGACGACACCAGUCUCGGACCAUGCAGAUACAAAGCAAGAGCGGAGGGACGGAGAGAGAAAAGAGGCGCUCCGGAUGGGUUUUCUGUGGGGGUUGCGGUUGUCGGGACGCCUACGUGGCGGCUAUCCGGGUGUCCGCAAACCUUCCCCAGAUUUGCUUCUGGUUAGUAGAAUUUCGAAACACACGGACUGGUCGGUGAAGCGUUUCAUGCAUGACGUUGGAUGAGACAAAGUGUACGGGGCGUUUAGCGGCGCUUCGAUGCACAAACGUUGGAGGUGCCCUAACCUCCCAUGGAUUUUCCCCGAGUUAAACCUCAUAAUGUCAUUAUCUUAUCGCAUGAAGAAGAUACAAAACCGCACGACAACCAAUUGGAGCAUUUAAUCAUGUCAAAUUUACCCAAACAUAACCAUCAGAAUCCCAAAAAACAACUUUGCUGCUACGCCAAAAAAAAUAAAAAAAAUUGUAUCCCAAACAAAUUUUAUGUGUGAAUUGCAUCGAAAAACCAUUAGAUGCAUUUCCAUAACCAACAAAUUCUCUUUGCCUAACCCCCCAUGAAGUCUUUCCCCCAUCAAGAUAAACCUCACAAUGCCAUCAUCUCAUCUCCUCAUGUGGAUGGAUAAACCCCACAACAACCCAAACACAACUGUCAUGUGAAGCACACACACAUAAACCCAAACAACAAAAACUUUCCCUUUUUCGAACCUUGUUGAGUCCAUUGCAAACAACACAAACCCUAAAACCUCAGGGCUAAGCAAAAGAGAGAGGCAAAGAGGGCAACUUUUCGCCGGGCCUUGCCCUCCAAGCACGGUAAAAACCGGCCCUUUUUCCCCCUCAAUCGUAACCCCAACGCGCUCUCUGUUUCCUUCCUCUUCCCCAUAAAAACCUCCGCUGGGCAACAAAAAGAAAGCUCUUGCGGAAUCCCUACCUUCCCCUCCCUCCCCUCCCCUCUCUAUCUCCCCUCUCCACUCCUCCUCCGGUUUGGGGGCGGCGGGGCAUGGACGUGCACCACCCGCCGAAUGCGGCGGCGGCGGCGGCGGCGGCCGCCGCCGCCCUCGGCGACAUGUUCCCCCAGGAGCCCGCCAUGGUCGGUUUCUUUUCCCACCACCCCCCCUCUUCCCCGCCUGUUCCGGUUGAUUGUUGGUUCCCCUGCGAAUAGGAGUUGUUCCCCCCGGCCAAGAACCGGGGGUUUUGGUUGCUUCGUCGCGAGGGAAGGCGCCGGCGGACCGGGGGUUCUUGGUUUUUGAAUGCUUUCUUGGAUGUCUUCCGGGUUGCGCUUUCGCAGAGGAAUAUUUUGCGGGGUUUAGCCGCCGCCGCCGCCGCCGCCGGUUGUUCAAGAAUUACGGGGGUUUAGGUUGGUCCGUGUGCAAUUCCUUGAACCCUAGGUGGUUUCGCCGGUUUCUUGCUCCCUUCAGGAUGAAAUUCCUCUUGAAUGUUCGGAACGCAAAGGGGGAAAAAGAAGAAAUGGCGGCUCUGUUCCUCUGUUACUUUUUACUGUUUCGGUCCUCUCCCGUGGAGGAAUCCUUCUGUUCACGUCUGUGUCUAUUAUUAGGCGAAUAUAUUGCUUUGGUUGGGAGGGAAGAGGUUUUCAAUUUCCCGAGCAAUUCAAUGGUAACUGCCGCCCGCCGAGGGGGGGAUUUUUUUUCAGCGACCGUGCAAUAAUUGUUUUAUCCCCCUUACUAGGGUUCGUGUCAGGUUCAUCACGUUCUUUCAAUUAUCCAUUGGGGAAAAGUAGUAUUAUGUUUCCCUUUCGCUGUGAUGUCACGGAAGGAAGAGGAAAAGCAAUGCGUGUCUUGAAUCAAUGUCGAUGUGUGUGUGUUCGUUCCCUCCUGUCAUUGUCGUUGCAUCGGCGCAUCCACUGUUAAUAUCCUUUUGGCCGCUGUGAGGCGACGCGUAUGCGAGAUUGCGACAGAGAUAUUGUAGUUGUUUUGUGUAUCGAUUUGGGUGGAAAACUUUAGGACUAGAAACGGUGACAAUGGCAGUCGGCAUCUCGAUUUUGCCUCAAGGGUUCUUCAGGUUUGGUCUGUAACUCCUUGCAGGAUUCAAGGAAACAUCCAUCCAUCCAUUGUAUCACUUAUUAUGAAAUGCAUCGGUUAUGUUCCUCAUAUUUAGCCUUGACUCAAGUUCGUGGACUAGUGAACUGUUUAAUUGCAUCCUGUUGUGAGAAACUGCCAUGGUGGUUUCUGUUCCACGGUGUUUAAUUGCAUUUGUGACUGAAGCAUGAAUUUUAUUUUCGUUGCAGUAACUUAAUUUUCCAUUGGAAUCUGAACUCAAGUAUCACUUGCCAAUUCGAAUGCCCCCAAAGCAAAUUUUUCUAUUGAUUGAUGGUGUGGACUUUAAUUAGUUCAAAAAGUAAAGGAUGCUGACUGUAGGACUGUUUGUUCUUCGUUAGUAGGUUUAUUCAGUAAUCUGUUUGGAAAUUUGUUACUCCAUGCUUCUGCUACUCUUUGUUUGGGAACCAUAUUGCCAAUGACAGUCCCUAGUCCAUUAAGGCUUCCCUAUGCAUUCCAUUCAUUUUAUUCAUCCUCACAUGCUUGUUUCUUAGCAAAAACAUAGAACAGGACCUCUAUGAAAAGUAGAUUUCCUUGCAGUUGUGUAAUUCCAUUUAGUGAUAUAUAUAUAUAUAUAUAUAUAUAUAUAUAUAUAUACAUAUAUUCUUAGACAAUCAGUUUGGCCAUUUUGUCUAAACGUGCCAUGCUACUCUUUCUGAUUUGCAGGAAAGUGAAGACAGCAGCACAGAGUGGCUCUCCAUCUAUUUAGGGGACUGCUUGACUAACCCUGCAUCCUACCCUGUCUCCGAAGAACAAGCAUCUGUAAACCCGAACCUGCCACAUCCUUCAUCUUCCAAUCCCAGAAGAAAGAAGAGAAGCCUGGCCUCUGUUAUAAGAGAUAGCGAUGAAGAAUAUUUCCUGAUUGUUGAGCCACCGCUACUACUUGAUCAGAAGCAUUGGCUAGCAGAGAGUGAGCUCAUCCUCCCCAAGAAAGACAAGGACCAAGAACUUGUCCAAAAACUGGAGCAGGAACACGGGGAAGCAUAUAAGCCCUACACUGUGCAGUUCAAGCAAGAGCAGGCGGUGAUGAGGUGUAGCAUUUGUUUGUCCAACUCCAACCAAACACCGCAGCAGUGGCAGGGCGGUCCGUCAGGGGCAUUAUUGUGCAACACGUGUAGCCUGAGGCUCAAGGCAGGGAACGGGUUCAUCAAACUGGAGCGCUGCGGCCAACAAGUUGACGAAGAGCAAGAUCAUGGAAGGGGGCAGGAUAAGAGGAAGAUCAAGAAGACCACAUAUUACGGAGAUGACGAGGAGCCUCCGCAGGAGAAGAGGAGGAUCAAGAAGACUUCAUUUGUAGAUGAGCAGGGCAAGAGGAGGACCAAGAAGACGUAUGUGAACGAGGAGGUCCCACUGGAGGAGCCAGUGAAGCGGUGCACCCAUUGCCUGUCCCACACGACGCCACAGUGGAGGAGCGGCCCUCUAGGGCCCAAGACCCUAUGCAACGCGUGCGGCGUGAGGUACAAGUCCGGCAGGCUGCUGCCGGAGUACAGGCCCGUCAACAGCCCAACCUUCGUGAGCUUCAUGCACUCCAAUUCCCACAAGAAGGUGAUGCAGAUGAGGAAGAGUGUCGAGAACGAGCACGAGCACGAGUACUCGCACUCGGAUAUGUGAGCUUGUGCCGGUGGUCAGGAGCAUCUCCUGAGUCUGUCGCAUCGGGUCUUAGAGGCCAUUGGGCCGUAGUCAUGUAGAUCAUCAGUCAGGAGGAAAGAAUCGAACGCGAAAUUCCGGUUAGGCCUCGGUUGAAACUCCUUGUUAGCUCUAGCAGUCAGUCUUUCGCUUGAGAGAACCGUUUCUCUAGUCCUGGAUUCGUCGUCACUUGUGGUUGGUUGAUACAAUAUUAUGCCCGCCAUUAUAUUGCGAUGUUAUGCUACGUUUUCCUGUCCCCUUUCCGAGUUUUGUUUGCAGGGCUGAGGUUGAGCACAGCCCUGCUGCAUUGCUGUUUUGCAUCUUGUGAUCCUGGGCAUUGGUGACUUUUUUCUAGGCUGGAACAAAGUUUGGUUUAGUUUGGUUGUUAGAUUUGCAAGAGAAGUGCUGCUCUCUAGUGCUCCUGGCAUUGCUGACUUUUUUCUAGUCUGGAAUAGAGUUUGGUUUAGUUUGGUUGUUGGAUUUGAUAGAGAAGUAGUAGUCUCUACCCAGUAUUGUUCCCUAACCUGCAAUCAGUCCACCUCUUUCCUGAACCAUGCAUAUGCAGAAUCUGAACUUCCAAACCACUGAUAAGAGUUGUGGCAGCAAAUCUGGACACUGCUGGCAACAAUGCAACAACAGAUUCAGUUCUUGAGCUUCCUGGGGCAGUCAAAUAGUACUCCAUCGGAUGUACGGACUGACUCUGCAAGAAACAAUCCACAGCAAGGGUCUCUCUCUCUCUCUCUCUCUCUCUCUCUCUCUCAUAAUUCAGUGACACCUUUUGUAUCACUCACUCACUCAUGCUCACUGGUGAUGAUAGAGCAUGAUGCAGGCCAGUGGUGCAUGCAGCAGGUCCUUUCUUGUUUCCUCCUCACUCACUCCCUCCACAAGUGAAGGGAAGGAAAGGGAAGGUCUUGACCACCUUUCCUCUUGCAUCAUCAUUCAUGGUCAUCUCAUGGGCCCUUUCUCUCUUGUGCUGAGGCCCCCAAUUGUGUGCUUGCAGUUGCAGUAGCCCAAGCUCACAUUCCACCAUUCAUUCUCCCUCUCAUGCAAAGUUUCUUUUCUCUCUCUUACUUCUUUGGCCUUACAUCCUUUGUGUGGCAGCAGUUAUUAGUAGUAACUAGAGAAAAGCCAUGGAUGGAUUUUGUGCUGAUCCAGUAACUUUGUACCUGUAACAAAAUAAAGAAGUACUGUAGUACUGUUUUGUCUGAUGAAAUAAAUUCCAUGUGCUGCAUGGGCAGGGCAGAGCCAUGUGCACAAACAAACUCACCACCAGACAUGUCAAAGUUGUCAACCAAACCAGUUGGACUGACCAUCACAAAUUCAGAUGACCAUCAAUAUUUUUUGUUAGCUGUCUCCCAGCAUAGAGAAGCUGGUCAAGCCUCUCGUGGUACCCAAAAAUCAAUGCAUCAUGUGUCCUCCGGUGCAGUGACCAGAAAGAAGCUGAGAGCAAUUGAACCGAGCUGCAUCACAUGUACACCCUCUCUGUCCUGUAAAACCUAGAUAGGAGCCAGCUGCAAGCAAGGGCGGGCUAGGAGCACCAGUGAUUCAGCACUACUGCCUAAUUGACAUUCUGUCACUCACCCCCUCUUUCUCCUUGAACCACAUAACAGGUUUGCCUGAUUGCCAUUGACAUGUUUGUAACAAAAUAAAACUAGUCUUUGAUGAAAUGAAGAUCCCAUGCAUGUAGUACGUGGGCAGGGCAGCCAUGUGUUGUGCAGAAACAAACUCACUAGACAUGUCAAAUUUGACUUAAGAGCAUCUACAGCCGGACUUGGCAAAUCCGCCCCCCUAUACGCCCUGUGGACGCAUUCGCGGACAGCGCCUGUUGGCCCCUCAUAUGUUCCGUCGCACAUCCACGUACCUCAAAUACCGAUCUUCAAAUCCAUGCAAUCCAUGCACGUCGAUCAUACGAUACAAAUUGUUUGAAUUCAACAGUUUAAAACAAAGCAAAGUAUAUCAUAGUUCAACAAAUUGGACAUGACAGAAUGAAAUCAAUGUCUGAGCGUGACGGAUGGCGCGCUUGUCGAAUCAAUGGCCGGGCGCCAUCCAUGGCGCCUGCUCCGAGCCCAGGCGGACUGCGUCAUGCUCGUCCAGCAUCUGGGCUGCCUCAUCCGCCUGCAUCCUGACCGCAUGAUUCGCUGUCGCCGCCGCCCUCGCCGCCUUGUACUCCAUACGAUCGUUGAUCUCUUUCUUGUCUGCAAGUCACUUCUUUGCAUGCUCAUCCAAGAGGGUUUCGUCCGCCAACAUGAUCUCGCAUCUUCCGCGUUCCGUGCGAGUUGCAACCUCUCCUUCUGAGGCUCAAUCUCUCCAAAUGUCUUGGCCUUCUCGAGUUCCCAUUUGAUCACCGCCACUUACUUCUCCAACUCGACUUUUCCCUCUCAAUUUCUAGCUUCUUCUUCGCCCUCUUUCGAUCCCACUCCAUCCUCUCCUUUUGUGCAUCCAACAUGACCUUGUACCUCUCCUCUUUCUUAUUCUCCCUUAUCGAAAAAUGCCCGUCCAUGUGGACGACAUUUUUGUAGCCGCGGCGUCAUGGGAGGCCCGUGCCUUCUGCCACUUAUUUCCCAUGACUUGUCGGUUAUCCUUUGGCACGGUGGCUCUUCCAUUCAUGACGAUAACAUCGUCUCUUCAUUGUCCAACCCAAUUGAUUGGUGGGAGCUUGAGGCAUCAUUCCUCUUCUUGCCGGACUUGAGAUCGACCACAAGUUGCAUUCACUUCGGCUUGCCAUUCAAUAUGAUCCAACAAUGGCUAAAAGCAAACAACUUCUUCUCCACCUCGUGAUACAAAGUGGCCGCCACCGCCCUAGCAAACAACAUAUGUAUGAGCACGAGAAUGCAAACACAACAAGCAUAUGCAAAUGACGGAGGCUGCCAGAAGCGUAGUCUUCGAUAGGACUAGCUAUCCCCCUCUUUUUCCGGCAUUCUGCAGUUCAGCCCAUCGAUAUUGCCUCUUUACACAUAUACCCAUGCAUAUGUAGUGUAGAUCCUUGCUUGCGAGUACUUUGGAUGAGUACUCACGAUUGCUUUGCUCCCUCUUUCCCCUCUUUUUCCUCUUAUCUCGGAUGCCGCAACCAGACAUCGGAGCCCAGGAGCCAGACGCCACCGUCGACGACGACUCCUGCUACACUGAAGGUGCUUACUACUACGUGCAGGCCGCUGACGACGACCAGGAGUAGUUUAGGAGGAUCCCAGGCAGGAGGCCUGCGCUUCUUUCGAUCUGUAUCCUAGUUUGUGCUAGCCAUCUUAUGGCACCUUGCCUAACAUGUUUGUACUCAGAUAUUGUUGCUUCCGCUGACUCGUUUAUGUCGAGCACUUGUAUUCGAGCCCUCGAAGCCCCUGGCUUGUAAUAUGAUGCUUGUAUGACUUAUUUUAUUUUUAGAGUUGUGUUGUGAUAUCUUCCCGUGAGUUUCUGAUUUUGAUCGUACACAUUUGCGUGCAUGAUUAGUGUACGAUUGAAUCGGGGGCGUCAUAGGGGCCUUAACACGACGACUUCUCGACUGUCUAUUACAACAAGUUUUGUCUGGCUCCGACGAGGGAGGGACGAUGACGACGACGUGCCUUCGCCUCGCUUCAGUGCUUGUAGUCGUCGCUAGGUGGUCUAUGAACAUGAAAGUGAUUUUCAUUAUUUCUGAUGUUUGUUGUAUUGCCACGAUUGAAGAUGAGACGGAAGUUUUCAUAAAUUUUUUUACGGACUGUAAAUUAACAAAAAAAUGCGGCCACCAAGUCUCCAACUCGCGACAAAAGGUUAGCACAAAAACCGCCCUACAACAUGCACCUGUACAAGAUUGGCAUGGAUAACUAGACUUAAUGUACUAUAACAAAGCCCUCGUGGAGCUGAAAUGAGCUAUGGCCAGUGCCAUCUUUUUAGAAUAUUGUAGAUAUUAUGUAAAUUAUAAUUUCAGUAGUAAAAUAAUGCUUGCCAAAAAUGUAGUAAAAAUAAUAUUUAAAUAUUUGUGUGUUAUAAUUAUUGUACAUACAUACGAAAUAAACUACAUUUAAUAUUGUUCAUGAAUUAUUUUAAAAAUAUUCAUUAUUUAAAAUAACAAUUAUGAAUUAUAUAAAAUGUUUGUAUACUUAAAUAAAAAUAAUUUAAAAUUUAAAUUGUGGAUAUCAAUAUUCAAUCCUAUAUAUUAUUUAAAUUAUAUAUAUUUUAAUAUAAGUCAUGAAUAAAAAGUAUACACAAGUGAAUAUUCAUAAAUAUUUAGCAAGUGUUUUUNNNNNNNNNNNNNNNNNNNNNNNNNNNNNNNNNNNNNNNNNNNNNNNNNNNNNNNNNNNNNNNNNNNNNNNNNNNNNNNNNNNNNNNNNNNNNNNNNNNNNNNNNNNNNNNNNNNNNNNNNNNNNNNNNNNNNNNNNNNNNNNNNNNNNNNNNNNNNNNNNNNNNNNNNNNNNNNNNNNNNNNNNNNNNNNNNNNNNNNNNNNNNNNNNNNNNNNNNNNNNNNNNNNNNNNNNNNNNNNNNNNNNNNNNNNNNNNNNNNNNNNNNNNNNNNNNNNNNNNNNNNNNNNNNNNNNNNNNNNNNNNNNNNNNNNNNNNNNNNNNNNNNNNNNNNNNNNNNNNNNNNNNNNNNNNNNNNNNNNNNNNNNNNNNNNNNNNNNNNNNNNNNNNNNNNNNNNNNNNNNNNNNNNNNNNNNNNNNNNNNNNNNNNNNNNNNNNNNNNNNNNNNNNNNNNNNNNNNNNNNNNNNNNNNNNNNNNNNNNNNNNNNNNNNNNNNNNNNNNNNNNNNNNNNNNNNNNNNNNNNNNNNNNNNAUUUAAUAAUUAUUAUCUGAAUGUAUAAUAUUUUUAACAUGCAAAUAUUUGAAUAUAACUUUUUAAUUUACGUUUUGUAAAUAUAUUAAGAAAAAAUAGCACGUACGAAAUUGGCCGCAGUGUCUGCAGCCCAUGUAAGCUCCACUGCAUUCUCGUUCAAUACAUGUGAGCUUGGUAUUCAUAGCUGUGAUCUGAACGUGAUUGAUAGAGUGGUUAGAGUGGCUGGUCAUGUGGGUCGACUGCUGGCGUCUUCAAUUUUGGCUUAAAUUUCGUUAAUUUUUGCAGUACAGUAGCUAACUUUUCUGCAAAUUUAAAAACGCAAAGGGGUUUGUGCAAAAAAAAAAGUAAUACGGUGGCCGGCUCUCUUUCGUGAAUACAAAAGGUACAAGUGUGUUUUAUGCAAUAAUGCCUCAGCUAGUCACUGACAGGUGGAGCCACGUACACAAAUACGCCCACAUAUGCAUUUUGUGACCGUAUGUGCACGCUUGAGUCAAGUUACAUGACUGCAAUUCCGUAUUUUCAAAAUUAUAAUACUGAACUGGAUACCAAGCGCAAGUUGUAUGACUCCUGAUGAUAUUACCUCCAUGCUGGAGUAGCCUAGAUAGAAGCCGGUCAAUGCACUGCUCCCGUGCUACACAUGGAGGGAGGGAGGGGCACCCGAGGGGUGGAACAAAUCGUGGCUUGACGUUUUCAAUGCAACGGUCCAGAUUGAUUCGACUGAACCAGUUUCUUUUUCCAGGCGACUAGGUAAUUGUCAGCCCCGUUUUAGAACGAAAAACAAAGAUUCAGACAUGUAAGGGCACCAUGAUGCUUUAUUUCACACUGGCUGACAUAUGGACCACAGAGGAGGAGUUCAAUAUACAGGGCAGGCAGGAGGUAAUUCAAAUUGCUAAACACCACAAGGCCAACACAAAAGUAUUCCCCAUUGCCACACAAGGUGGGAUUAAAACUUGACAGGACUUUGAUGUCAGACCAACACUAGCAGGGACGCCGAAGAUUUAUUUCUUGUAGAAGAGGGCUCCUAUGAAUGGAGGGAUUCGGCUUCGGAGAACAGCUUCGCGCGCUUGAGGAGACGAGUCCCGAGCGUCACUCGACCACCAUGCUCUCGGCCUCCUUCUUGAUGGAGUGGAAGAGCACCGACGAAAGGUAGCGCUCUCCGAAGCUCGGGAACACAAC